rnacentral:rRNA from 1 species
CACGUAGUUAGCCGUCCCUUUCUGGUAAGUUACCGUCACAGUGUGAACUUUCCACUCUCACACUACGUUCUUCUCUUACAACAGAGCUUUACGAUCCGAAAACCUUCUUCACUCACGCGGCGUUGCUCGGUCAGGGUUAGCCCCCCAUUGCCGAAGAUUCCCUACUGCUGCCUCCCGUAGGAGUCUGGGCCGUGUCUCAGUCCCAGUGUGGCCGAUCACCCUCUCAGGUCGGCUAUGUAUCGUUGCCUUGGUGAGCCGUUACCUCACCAACUAGCUAAUACAACGCAGGUCCAUCUCUUAGUGAUGCAUUUGCACCUUUCAAGUCAACAUCAUGCGAUGUCGACUUUUAUGCGGUAUUAGCUAUCGUUUCCAAUAGUUAUCCCCCGCUAAGAGGCAGGUUACCUACGCGUUACUCACCCGUUCGCAACUCAUCCGCUCGGUGCAAGCACCAAGCUUCAGCGUUCUACUUGCAUGUAUUAGGCACGCCGCCAGCG